rnacentral:rRNA from 1 species
GACGUAGGAGGCGAGCGUUGUCCGGAUUCAUUGGGCGUAAAGAGCGCGCAGGCGGUCGUUCAAGUCGCGUGUGAAAGCCCCCGGCUCAACUGGGGAGGGUCACGCGAUACUGAUCGACUCGAAGGCAGGAGAGGGUAGUGGAAUUCCCGGUGUAGUGGUGAAAUGCGUAGAUAUCGAGAGGAACACCAGUGGCGAAGGCGAGUCCCUGGACAGGUCCUGACGCUGAGGCACGAAAGCUAGGGGAGCAAACAGG